rnacentral:lncRNA from 1 species
GUAAACAGCUGGUUGGCCAGCUUUGUUUAGAGAGUGUGAAGCCUUUAUGUCUUUGAACCGAGCAGAGGAAGCAGAGCUGAAGAUAGUCAAACCGUUUGGGACUUCUGAACCGUUUAUUCAGACUUUCAUAGUGGCAUUUCAGGUUAGAAACAGAAAAUAAUUUAUGGUCUCCUCUCUUCUUGUAGGAGAGCAUGAAGAAUUUGGAAUGGACUUCACUUAGAAGAGAAAUUUAAGUUGGUGUAUUUGUCACAGGAAGUGAAAGAGAUUGAUUUAAAAUGAUGUGCCAGCAUUGCGGAGCAGUCCCAACAGAAACAGAGUUCUGUUUUCCCGGUUCCUGGAAAGAGAUGCCCUUCAGACAACAGCUUGGAGUGGAGGUCAGACAGGUGAGACAAUUUCCUCCCCACGACCAUACCUAUGGAGGCAGCAAAAAUCACUGUAUUGACAAUGCCGUUUCUCAAAGAACAGAAGCCGAUUACCAAGAACAUCCCUACCAUCAUGACUGUGAAUUGCUUUGUUGAGGCCCAGGGAAAAGUGGCUUAUGGUAUCUUGUUAUUUAGUCCUCACCUAGCUCCCAAUUUCCUUCUCUAAUAGCUGACACACCGUGCUUCCCCACAGCACAAGAUGUGCAGACCCCUUGCUGAAAUCUCAUGAAGUCAAGAUCCUCCAUGCCUGUGGAAGAUUUCAUCCUGGAGGCUUUCCACCGUUACAGCUGUGAAGUGAGACCACCAUUGGAUUUCAUGAAUUGUCUCUUUUCUUCAUUACCUUAUUGAGAUGUUUCCUUCUCCUAUUCUGGUUCUCUGUUUAUGCAGAGACUAAAGGAUGGUGUAUGUGUGUUAGACUGAGACCAGAUGAAAUGUUGGUGGGACUGGUUGCAAUAAGAACCAGGGCAGAGUUAAGGGCGAAAAUUUGGAAGAAGAGGAAGAGGAGAAUUGAAGUUGGCUGACUGAGAAAUGGGUCUGGGGAUGGAAAGGAUAGAAAUGAAACUGGGACUUUGGCAACAUAGGUGUGGUUCAGUUAAGAGCUAAAUAAUAGGAUGAGAAGGUGAGGAAUGCAGUCUGGGAUUAGGGAGGCAAUGAAAAUGAGGCAGAUGUGAAGAGCCAGGAGGAGAGAAGAGAAAGAUCUGAGUCAGGGUUGUUGGCAGUGGAGUGGAACAGGAGGACUCAAGCUUUGGAGGGGGGCAAGCAGGAGGGCCUGUGCCUGCUAGAGAACCAGGGCCCACAUGGUGCCCAAAAUGCCAAGUUUCACGGUUCCUCUGCGGUCGGUCAGGGUAGUGGUCAGCCCUAGAUUAUACAGAACUACACUCCAGAUGUCUAAAUGUGGUGUCUAAAUGUGUGAANNNNNNNNNNNNNNNNNNNNNNNNNNNNNNNNNNNNNNNNNNNNNNNNCUAAACAUCAGGACCUACAUCCACUUUUGAUGCCUUAGAAAAUUUCUUGAGGUGCCCUGGGAUACCCAAAUGACUGUAGGCACCUACUUUCAGGCAGCUGAAUUCCACCUUGACUCAAUUCAGUCCCAGGAGUU